AAUUUUGUGGAAUAGAGACGUAGAUUGUUAUCUUCUUACAUAUAUAUAUAUAUGUAUUUCGAGAAAAAUUAUUUGUACGUGUCAAAGAUAAUCGAAAUUAUGCAGGUAUAAAUUGCUAAUUUUGCAAGCUCGAUGGAAAAUUCAUCGAUGAUAAUUAUUGGUAGAUAAGAAGAUAAUAAUUUAAUCGGGCGAGAAAGAAAUGAUCGAUCAAAGGAAAGAUAAAAAUGUAAUUUUAAGAUUAAUUAUAUUCGUCGUAUUUAUUAAGAUCAAUGUAAUAGACUGGUAAUUGACAAAAAUUAAUUAAUACGAGGCAUCCUUGGAAAAUAAGAAUGUCGGCAUAAUUCUUUUCGAGCGAACCAUUAGCAUGUAUAAUUUUUAAUCUCAGAUCAGAGAAUCGAAUGGAAACAAAUUUGUCACGAAUUGCAAAUUGCUUAAUCAGAAAAAUGGUAUUUGAUAUGGAGGCUCGAGAUCGCAAUCGAAAACAAAAAGGAAAAAGAUGUAAAAUGGAACGAAAAUCGUUUCCUCUUCUCGAUUAUUCCGCGACACUUAUAUGUUAUUUCGAUGGCCGCAUUAAAGCGCGUAACGUACGAUCUUACAAGGAAACUUGUUUCGUUUCAAAUGAUCAAACAAGUUACAACUUCUCCAACACGAUCACCUUUAAACCACACCCCUCUCCCUUUUACACUUGAUAUUCCAACCGCGGGGACAUAUAACGAUAAAUUGUUGAAGCUUGAAAAUUGUUACGCGUAAUUAGAGGGUAUGAAGAGCGUUAUUCUUAAAAUAUUAUCCUUCAUCUUACGUCCUCUCGAGCAUUAUUUAUUAAGAUUUCAUUUUCUUCUACGUACCUCUAUUCUACGUAUACGUGAUUAAAUUUACGUGGAAACAAUCAACUCGGUAGAAUGUAAAUCAGAAUUAACGAUUCUGGCAAUCGUGAACAAAAAUUUUUAUCGAAAGUUAUCUUGCAAAUAUUUUAAAUAAUAAUAUCGAUGAUGAUAGAUGAAUUCAAAAGAAAAGAAUUAUUCGAUUAUUUUUCGUUUAUUUCAUUUUUUUUUUUCGUAAUAAUAAAAAAUCGCGACAGUUGAGAUGAACAUUCCAAGUUUAAUAUAGCACGACGAUCCAUCAAAAAAAGUAUUCUUCUGCGCACUUCUGAUGAUUAUCGCUAUUUAUAACGUAGAAAAGUUCCUUCGAUAACGAAUCUGAACCGGUAUAUUAUCAUACCAACUUGUAACACGUGAACGUAUACGGAAAAAUCUCUUUCUUCGUCUAUAUUUAAAUUUCCAACCCAGACUCCACUUGUCUCGAGGAAGCUUACAUUCCGCGACAAAACGAUGCACGUUUCACGAUUCUCAGCGUUUUUUCCAGACCGUGUAUAUCCUAUAGAUAGAAUCUUUCCUCAACAAUAUGGAAGAAAAAUUGAAAAAUUACUCGUAAUCGAAAUCAUUUUCAAAGAAAGUGAAAAUUGCAUCGAUCACCUUAUGAAUCCUUCGUACGAUCUUUCUUCACCGAGAUACAUCGAGAUACACCUUUCAAAGUUGCUUCAAAAAUUCACACCGCCAUCAUUUUGUCACAAACUGUACCUUGAUCGCGCUCGAUGAAAAUUACACACACACACACACACACACACCGAGACAACAAGGACAAAGAGAAGGCUAAAAAACGAGAGGCUAAAAUAGAAGAUAUUACACGAUUUUCUAAUGGUAUCAUUAAAAGUGAUUUUAUCGAUUAAACGGUGAAUUAAAUCGGGGACCGCCGUGCCUCAAAUAACACGGUGCACGGGCAUCAUUUCUCUUAUCCUGUCGCAUUUCUAAUAAGAGGAGCUCGGUUAGAUACACGCCUCGUGUUCGAUCCUUCCCAGCCCGAUUUCCCUCUGCCUCUGUAUUUACAGCGUCGGCAUAAAUCUGCGGACCAAGAUUCGCGCCGUUGCCCGUAUCGCGCUUCUUCUAUUUCUGCAUCGUGGAAACGGCACUUUACGACUGCCGGUCCAAUUUGUUUUCCGCCCAUCCGAGUCCCCGAGUGGCGACAAAGAAACGGCUCGGGACGAUAUUCAUUAACGUCGUCGAACGUCUUCCUUUUAAACACGGCCGCCUUUAUUAACGACGAUUUCUCCGUUCGAUUAAUUCUCUAUCCAGAUAGCGCGUUGUAAAUUUACGUUAUCCGGUUGAUACAUCCUUGGUCCCGAUUUUCGAGCGAAUGGUUACGAUCUGGAUAAUCGUUUGAAUUUGAAAUUAUAAAUUUAACGUUAGCUUUAGUUUAAUUUUUUUUUCUCUUCGAUUUUGAUCGCGUAGUUAUUGGAUGGCAGGGAGGGAUAACGAAAUUUCAAUUUUCAAUUAUUAUUUUAGAUGGAACGAUAUAAGUUUAUGUGAAUAAUGAAUAAUGCUUUUUUUCUUGUAUAUAUGAUUCAAAGAUUGUUGCAAAUGUUUACAAUAUUCGUAUUUCUUUUAAAUAAUGGAAAUAUUCAUUCGUACACGUUAUAAUCUAACAAUAAAAUUGAGUUAAUCAGAUUAAGUGAGGUUAGGUGACAUAAGAUCAAGCAAUCAUCUCCAAGUAAUCCUUGAAUCCAUUAUUUCAUAUUAAUAUCUCCACGAAUCAUGAAUGAUCGAUUUAUCAAAUCGCUUUAAAAUUUCGUUCCUUUCGUCUACUCGCAUCAUAACCUAACCUAACCAAAAAUUCAAACGUUACCACACUUUCGUCUCGAUCGUAAACGAGCAUGGUCGAUAAAUUGCAAGUCGUCCCCCGUCGAUAACGUCACCGUUACCGAUCGAACUUUAAACGCUGUUAACCUUUGCCUCGUCCAACUUAACGAUGACAGCCAGAUACAUGGACGGUCGAUCGUUGACAGUGAUCGAGGAAACCGUGCAGGAAACAUCUUUCGAUAGGUAUCGAGUGUUAACGAAGUCAAUGGGGUUAUGCGUGUCCUGGUCGAGGACAGGACAAUAACCGAUUCGUUCGACCGGUUUCAUCCUCCACUGUGGAUGUCAGUGGUGAGAGGCAGGUGCGACCGUGACUUGCCUUCCUCCCUUCGGUUCACGUAAUUACGCUUGCGCGUGUCUCUCUUGCGCCCUGUACGUAAGCACGAGACCGUUCUACACGAAUGCACGUGCUUUAGCCUCGUCUAGCUCGCCAUCCACCCGCCUCUAUUACCUGACGAGACCGCGUUACGAUACGUGUGUACAUAACGGGGCCAUGUAAGCAACGUAGUGUGAUAUACGGGGUGGCUUAGCCUACGUGCAUCGUGGUUGGAUGAUUUCUGUGUGACGAGACUUUGAAAGUGUAAGCCUAAGAGAAUGUAACUCAACUGGUUUCUCGGAACUGAUGGAUAUAUUCAAGCUGCAGAAUGUAAGACGACGUGUCCCUCUCGAUCGAGACGGAACAAUCGAAUCGGCCGACUAAAUUCGCCGAUCUGGCAAAGUAUCGCGGAGCCGGGGUAUCUAUUCCUCGUGACCUUGACUUGGCGGCUAAGAGGUUUACCCUGGUAAACCCCGGUAUCUCGGGAUACCACUCGGGGGUGGUCUCGGUCGGAGGGAUUAAGACAGGGUUGUUCGACGGGACGACAGAGGGCUGCUGGGAUCGGUCCUGGUGGACGGGAGGAGCGGGGGAGGGGAUGCAAAAGGGGGAGAGGGGCGAGACGCCGAGAGAAAGGGAAAAGAGACUGCGCCCGUAUAAUUGAUUGAGUCUAAUGAGUUAAAGGGGAUGGUUGGUGGUGGAAUUAAAGAGUUCUAGGUCAUGGAGGCGACAACCCACCAGCCCGGGGGAGGCUUAGAUAUACCCGCCACCCCCUGCUUCCUUCGCCUCGCCACGAGGGCGCUGAUUGUAAAUUAGUUAAAGGAGAUGGUUCAUUAGAAUCAGCUGAUCCUUGCCUUUUAACAGAUUCUUGGGGACGAACGAUGGGGAUGAUGAGCGAUGUGAUCCAACGAAGAUUGAGAUGAAAGAAGAUGUAUCAAAUUUAGAACACGACUCAAAUCGUUCGUGGAAAUUCAAAAUGAGAUUCAAUCCUUCGAUCGUCUUAUGUGUCACGUAUCAGCUCCGUCUUUCUUAAUCGUCGAGAUUACGAUUCCUCCUCGCGAACAAAUUAUCAAAAAUGUACACUCGGAUCCGCACGCAAUCUCAUUUCAUCCCCGCGAUAUUACUUCUCAGUAGCCGCGAAACAGUAUCUCGAGGACGUCUCUCUCGGCGUCGGUGGCUUUUCAAUUUGCUUGCUUGUGGAAAAAAAGGGAGGAGGAGGAGGAAGGAGGCCGCGGAACGCGCGGAAGGAAGGAAGUGUCCUCCUCCAUUGGGGUGGAGGGCAGGGGUGGAAGGGGAGUCGAGCGAGGAGCGGUGCGUCUUCUCCACAUCCCCCAAGGGAAAUUAUUGACAGUCAGCGAGGAAAUGACGUCGUAAAUACCACGUCGCUGGCGCACCCCCUCGAACCCGCUCCUUUCUUUUCGCCGACCUUAAACCCCCUCCCCCUCCCUCCCCUAUUACCAGGCGCCACCUUCUUGCGCUGCUUCUUCUCGCUUAAUCCCCCUUUGUUUCCUUCGCGCCUUCGUUUCCUUUGCCCUUCCUGCACGUUUCUACAAUUAAUUCGACACGUUUUCCUUCUUUUGCGCUGUUAUUUCUUUAUUUCAUUUAUUUUCGAUGAUGUAUAUCGUUUCGUUGUGAAAAUGGAGUGGUUGGAAAAGUAGGGUUUCAUCGAAUGUAGAUUGAUUUGAAAGAUUUUGGUGAAAGGAUGAAGGAAGGGAUUGAGAGAUUUAUCUUUCUUCUUUUCUGAAUUUGAUAUGAUGAAAUUUUUGAAAUAAAUUGCAUUUGGAAAGUGUCCAAGUACAAACGCAUGUAUACAUAAUAUGUUGGAUAAUUUGAAUAGUAAAAAAUAAUUAUGAGAGAAUGUGUAUCUAUAUAUCGUAAAUUCAUAGAUAAAUUAUUCCUUUGUUCUUGUCGCUGUACGAGCAACUUUUCUCUCUUUCUUGUUACUUUCUGUUUCUAUUCAACUUUCGCUUACGUUUCGUUUCAAUCUUUCGAACUGCGAACCUGAAAGUUCGAAGAAAUGAGAGAAGGUUGAAACAGAGCCUUUCAUAGAAACAUUUUGACCAAAACGGAAGUGGGUAGGAUUCUUUGGAAACUUUUCAUUACGUAAAAUACCAGUCAUUGUUGAAACGUAAAUUUGUGUGAGAAUAAUUGUAACAAUUGCAGAAAAUUGACAAGUUCUUUUAAUCAUUAAAAAUGUAAAUCUUUUUAGAAAAAUUGUUCGAUUAUAACUAUAUCAAUCGAUAAUUAUGUAAAUUAAAUUUCUCUCGAAGAAAAAUUUCAAAUAAACAAUUACUCUGCAAAUAAAUAUUUCUAUUAUCUCACAUCUGUACUAAAAAAGUAAUAAAUGAUCGUUGUAGGGGAUGUAAAAAAAAAUUUCGAAACUAUUUUGGCACAAAAUUUAAUCGAAUUAAAUUUCCUUUGAUGGAAAAUCUUUUUGCUAGCCCCUUUCUUUACCAACAAAUAAUUUAUCACAAACAAAUAUGAUAAAUUUGAAAUUAACUUAAAGGAAAAAAUGAAUCAAAGAUAAAAAUAAUAUAUCUCAAAUUGCACAGUGAUAUACAUUAGUCGUUCACAAGAAAAGUAGCAAGAAGAAUACACUCUAAGUUCUCUAGAACACCACCACCUAUGAAGUUUCAACGAGCACACUCAUUAUUCGAGAAUUCCUCACAAUGUUUCCCAACUCUCUCGUCUUUUUCCCAAGGUGCUCCAAAAAAUUCUUGUAAAAAAAAAAAAAAAGAAAAAAAGAAAAAAAGAAAAAAAGGAAGGGAAAGAGAUUCUUAACUGCAUUCAUUUAGCCGAGCGAAAGACCGUUUCAAAGGAGCAAUGUCGUCCUACUUAAAACGCCCAUUAUUCCCGUUGAAAUGAAUAUACCUGUGCUGUUUCCGGUUUCGUUUACGGAAACGACAUGCACGAGAAGGGACAGGUCGGAAUGAGAGGAGGGAAAAAAAAGAAUCCUUUCGUUUGUCGCAAUGUCGGCGAAAAUGAAAGAGUAACAUGUUAUUUUUCGAACGAUCCAACGGUGAAAGUGAAUUAAACGCCAUUUAUUCGUUUCGAAAGUCGAAUAAUCUUUUUUUGCGGUCUCCAGGUUUCACGCACGUUUUUCGGAUAUUGCGUAUAAAUGAAAACGAAAUGCGGUUUCUCGUUCGCCAUUUUUGUUCCUGCGAACGUCCUUGACGCGUCGAAGGGUAACAAGAUUAUACAAUCUUCUUAUUAUUUUUCAACGAAACAAUUAGAUGAAUUUGAAAAUGUGAUUAUAUAGAGGUUAAUUUUAUAACUUGAAUUUAAUUUAAUUUAACGAGAAUUAAAUUUUUUUUAUUCUUAAUAAUUUAAAUUUGUUUCUGGAGAUUGCAGAAAUGUGAAAGUUAUCGAUAAAAAGAAAUUAUCAUUAUUAUUAAAAUAUCAAUAGAAAGUUGUUUAAACGUCAAUCAAAUAUUCUAAAGUGGAAAAUUUUCAAUUUAAAAUAAUUUCCAUGACAAAAUUUAAUGAAAAAAGAAAAAAAAAGAAAAGAAAGAAAA